AACGAACGCUGGCGGCGUGUUUAAGACAUGCAAGUCGCACGGUGUCAUUUUGGUAGCAAUACUUGAAUGGCAUAGUGGCGCACGGGUGAGUAACACGUGAAUUACAUGCCCUGUGGAGGGGGAUAGCCCAGGGAAACUUGGAUUAAUACCCCAUGGUCUCGUAAGAGUAAAGGUGGCCGCAAGGCUGUCGCUACCGGAUUGGUUCGCGCCCUAUCAGCUUGUUGGCGGGGUAACGGCCCACCAAGGCUACGACGGGUACCUGGUCUGAGAGGACGAUCAGGCACACUGGAACUGAGACACGGUCCAGACACCUACGGGUGGCAGCAGUCGAGAAUAAUUCACAAUGGGGGCAACCCUGAUGGUGCAACGCCGCGUGGAGGAUGACGGUCUUCGGAUUGUAAACUCCUGUCAUCCGGGAGUAAGACCUGGCUGUGAAUAGCAGACAGGGUUGAUAGUACCGGAAGAGGAAGGGACGGCUAACUUCGUGCCAGCCGCCGCCGUAACAC
rnacentral:rRNA from 1 species